ensembl:rRNA 5S_rRNA 5S ribosomal RNA
UACAGCAGCCAUAUCACCCUGCAACUCACAACUGGCAACCCACUGAAGCUAAGCAGGUGUGAGCCUGGUCAGCACCUGGAUGGGAGACCACCUGGGAAAAACCAAGGUUGCUGCUGGAA